CAUGGAAAAAAAGUCAUAGUAUAGCAUGUCGUCCAAAAUGAUGAAAAAAAGUCAUAGUAUAGCAUGUCGUCCAAAAUGAUGAAAAAAAGUCAUAGUAUAGCAUGUCGUCCAAAAUGAUGAAAAAAAGUCAUAGUAUAGCAUUUUGUCGUCCAAAAUGAUGAAAAAAAAGUCAUAGUGUAGUAUGUCGUCCAAAAUGAUGAAAAAGAUCAUAGUAUAGCAUUUUGUCGUCCAAAAUGAUGAAAAAAAAGUCAUAGUGUAGUAUGUCGUCCAAAAUGAUGAAAAAAAUCAUAGUAUAGCAUGUCGUCCAAAAUGAUGAAAAAAGUCAUAGUAUAGCAUGUCGUCCAAAAUGAUGAACAAGAGUCAUCCUAAUAUACUGUCUAAAAUCAUAGAAUGAUGAUGGCAAAAAAAUACCAAAGUUUCCCAAUGUGCAAACUGGACCCUCUUUACAUUAUUUGAACCUCUAACACAAAUGUACAUAUCUUAAGAAAACAUGCCACGGAGUAUUUCUAAUUUUACUUAAAUUAAUGAUUUCAAUAGCACUCUCGGCCACAGUGUUGGACAAGUGGAAAAUUGUUCUUGUUUAUUGUUUCUGUUAUAGAGGUGAGGUAAUGAGUUGAAGUAAGUGAUAACAAGUGAUUAACAUCUUUGACUUCUU